CUAUGAGUAUCACGGGUGACCAGGAUUUUGUCUCAGGGUCAGCUAAUAUUGAGCAGAGCCAUGUAGCUAGGAUAUGGAGGCACCACUUCCUGAGACUAUUCAGAGAGAAGCACUGGGAAGAGAGAGUAGACAUGCCCAGAAAAUAUCUGGAUAUGUAGGACUCAGGAAAGUGGUUUGGGCUGGAAAGAGAAAUUUGGGAGACAAAGAUGGUAAAUAACAUCACCCUGAGAAAGCCUCUGGAGGACAUAUUAAAAUAGAUUGCUUCAUCUUCAACAAUCGUCUUGAAGAUAAAUCCUGUUCAAGCAGACCCUGGAUUCAAGUUUGUGGUGUUUAAUUCUUUUACAGAUUGAUGAAUUUGAUCUGCUGAUAUUUUGUUGAGGAUUCUUGUGUGUGUGUUAAUCAGGGCUAUUGAUUGGCCCUGAGCUAACGCCUCUGCCAAUUUCCCUCUAUUUUUUGUAUGUGGGUCACCCGCACAGCAUGGCUUGAUGAGUAGUGUAGGUCUGCGCCUGGGAUCCACA
rnacentral:lncRNA from 1 species